ensembl:snRNA U6 U6 spliceosomal RNA
GUGCUCACUUUGACAGCAUGUAUACUAAAAUUGGAAUGAUACAGAGAAGAUUAGCAUGGCCCCUGCUCAAGGAUGACACGCAAAUUCGUGAAGCAUUCCAUAUUUUU